GCGCGGGUGGGGGCGCGGGGUUGAAUGCGCCAUGUUGUGCAGCGGUAAAAUUAUCCAGAAUGGAGCCAUUUAAACCUCCGGAUCCCCCUGUGUCUUGAAGGGAAUAUAACGGAAAACUGGAAACGCUGCGAACAACGAUUCAAGUUGUACUUGAAGGCCACGGGGGCCGACGGCAAGACGGAACAUGUCAAAGUGGCGAUUCUCCUCUCAUCGUGUUGGGGAGGACGGAUUGGAAGUGUUUUACCCCUUUGAUUCUGGUGACGGAUCGACCACAAUACGUCAGUAUCGAACUCUCUGUUUCGUGCAACAUUACCGGAUAAUAUUAAUAAACCAAGAUGGCAGACACCAGUCCUUUUUCACUGGAAGAGAGGCUGGCAGCAAUGGUGUGGUACCACGAGAGGAGAAACACGGAUGCACUCGGUUUAAGGAGAGACCAAAUCAGCUACACAGGUUUGACGAAGCGUCAGGACGACAUGGAAGGCAGCCACCAUCGAGAAAAACGAUUCGACAAGGUGAUCGGCAAGAUGGGAUGGACUGGAGGUUCCAAGGCGGCUCAGGUGACGUACCUGAGGUGCUGCGUCCAAUUAGGUGGCGCUUUAUAAAGCCCAGCACUGCUCUGCCACCAUCACCGUCCCCGUCCCGUGCACUUUAA
rnacentral:lncRNA from 1 species